rnacentral:rRNA from 1 species
UACGAAGGGGGCUAGCGUUGCUCGGAAUCACUGGGCGUAAAGGGCGCGUAGGCGGCCGAUCAAGUCGGGGGUGAAAGCCUGUGGCUCAACCACAGAAUUGCCUUCGAUACUGUUUGGCUUGAGACCGGAAGAGGUAAGUGGAACUGCGAGUGUAGAGGUGAAAUUCGUAGAUAUUCGCAAGAACACCAGUGGCGAAGGCGGCUUACUGGUCCGGUUCUGACGCUGAGGCGCGAAAGCGUGGGGAGCAAACAGG